UAGGGAAUAUUGCACAAUGGGCGAAAGCCUGAUGCAGCAACGCCGCGUGCGCGAAGAAGGCCUUCGGGUCGUAAAGCGCUUUUCUGAGAGAUGAGAAAGGACAGUAUCUCAGGAAUAAGUCUCGGCUAACUACGUGCCAGCAGCCGCGGUAAAACGUAGGAGGCGAGCGUUAUCCGGAUUCACUGGGCGUAAAGCGCGUGCAGGCGGUUCGGUAAGUUGGGCGUGAAAUCUCUCGGCUUAACUGGGAGAGGUCGUUCAAUACUACCGGGCUAGAGAGUGGUAGAGGAAGAUGGAAUUCCCGGUGUAGUGGUGAAAUGCGUAGAUAUCGGGAGGAACACCAGUGGCGAAAGCGAUCUUCUGGACCAUUUCUGACGCUCAGACGCGAAAGCUAGGGUAGUAAACGGGAUUAGAGACCCCGGUAAUCCUAGCCAUAAACGAUGUAAACUUGGCGUUGGUGGCUUAAACUCCAUCAGUGCCGCAGCAAACGCGAUAAGUUUACCGCCUGGGGACUACGAUCGCAAGAUUA
rnacentral:rRNA from 1 species